ACUUAGCUCAGUUGGUUAGAGCAACGGUCUGUUAAACCGUAGGUCCAAGGUUCAAAUCCUUGAGUG
rnacentral:tRNA from 1 species